UAGCUAGUUGGUGAGGUAAAGGCUUACCAAGGCGACGAUCUGUAGCGGGUCUGAGAGGAUGAUCCGCCACACUGGAACUGAGACACGGUCCAGACUCCUACGGGAGGCAGCAGUGGGGAAUUUUGGACAAUGGGGGCAACCCUGAUCCAGCCAUGCCGCGUGAGUGAAGAAGGCCUUCGGGUUGUAAAGCUCUUUCGGCCGAAAGAAAUCGCAUGGGCCAAUACCCUGUGUGGAUGACGGUACCGGAAUAAGAAGCACCGGCUAACUACGUGCCAGCAGCCGCGGUAAUACGUAGGGUGCGAGCGUUAAUCGGAAUUACUGGGCGUAAAGCGUGCGCAGGCGGUUUUGUAAGACAGGCGUGAAAUCCCCGGGCUUAACCUGGGAACUGCGUUUGUGACUGCAAGGCUAGAGUACGGCAGAGGGGGGUGGAAUUCCACGUGUAGCAGUGAAAUGCGUAGAGAUGUGGAGGAACACCAAUGGCGAAGGCAGCCCCCUGGGUCGAUACUGACGCUCAUGCACGAAAGCGUGGGUAGCAAACAGGAUUAGAUACCCUGGUAGUCCACGCCCUAAACUAUGUCAACUAGGUGUUGGGUGGGUAAAACCAUUUAGUACCGUAGCUAACGCGUGAAGUUGACCGCCUGGGGAGUACGGCCGCAAGGUUAAAACUCAAAGGAAUUGACGGGGACCCGCACAAGCGGUGGAUGAUGUGGAUUAAUUCGAUGCAACGCGAAAAACCUUACCUACCCUUGACAUGCCAGGAACUUGCCAGAGAUGGCUUGGUGCCCGAAAGGGAGCCUGGACACAGGUGCUGCAUGGCUGUCGUCAGCUCGUGUCGUGAGAUGUUGGGUUAAGUCCCGCAACGAGCGCAACCCUUGUCGUUAAUUGCCAUCAUUUAGUUGGGCACUUUAACGAGACUGCCGGUGACAAACCGGAGGAAGGUGGGGAUGACGUCAAGUCCUCAUGGCCCUUAUGGGUAGGGCUUCACACGUCAUACAAUGGUCGGUACAAAGGGUUGCCAAGCCGCGAGGCGGAGCCAAUCCCAGAAAGCCGAUCGUAGUCCGGAUUGCAGGCUGCAACUCGCCUGCAUGAAGUCGGAAUCGCUAGUAAUCGUGGAUCAGCAUGUCACGGUGAAUACGUUCCCGGGUCUUGUACACACCGCCCGUCACACCAUGGGAGCGGGUUCCGCCAGAAGUAGGUAGCCUAACCGCAAGGGGGGCGCUUACCACGGCGGGGUUCGUGACUGGGGUGAAGUCGAACAAGGUAGCCGUAGGGGAACCUGUGGCUG
rnacentral:rRNA from 1 species